AAAGCACCAAGGAGCAGGUAUCAGGCACAACCCAUUAGCCCAAAACACCUUGCUACGCCACACCCACACGGGCACCCAGCAGUGAUAAAUAUUAAGCAAUGAGUAAAAGCUAAAUAAAGCUCGACUUAGUUAUGGUUAUUAGGGCCGGUAAACCUCGUGCCAGCCACCGCGGUUAUACGAGGGGCCCAAAACAACAGACACCGGCGUAAAUUGUGACUAGAGCACCUACUUACAUCAUUGGAAGAUAAACAAAGACUUAAUCGUAAAACCUAAGCCAAAAGAAACAUACUCUUCCAACUACAAAGAAGCUUGAACCCACGAAGACUAAGAAACAAACUAGGAUUAGAUACCCUACUAUGCUUAGUUGUUAAUAUGAUACCAAAAACACUGGUAUCCGCCAGAAAAUUACACGCGAAAAGCUUAAAACUCAAAGGACUUGGCGGUGCUCCGUAUUCGCCUUAGAGGAGCCUGUCCUAUAAUCGAUAACCCACGCUUUACCUUACCAUCUUUUGUCAAAACAGCCUAUAUACCGCCGUCGCAAACUUACCCCAUGAGGGCAAAACAGUAAGUAAAAUAGUAGUACACUAGCACGUCAGGUCAAGGUGUAGCUAAUAAGAUGGAAGAGAUGGGCUACAUUUUCUAAAACAGAAUACACGGCAAAGAACAUUGAAAUAUGCUCUAAAAGGUGGAUUUAAUAGUAAGAUAGAAAAGAAGACCUAUCUAAAAA
rnacentral:rRNA from 1 species